GACGUUUCAAAGUCUUUCAGAUUAAUAUUUGUUCAUUUGUGAUAAGUAAGUUUGAAAAGUACUGGACAAGGGAUUGCGUUAUCGAAUCUUUUUUACCGUUAUGCCAUGUCUAUACUAUUUCUGAUCUUUUCAAAACUGUUACAAAUCUGUGUAGUUGUACCCAUGUAUAUCCAGCCUAGUUCUUGGUAAGGUCAUGUGAAUUAAAUUCCAAGAUCUAUAGCUUGCUUCAUAUUGUUAUCACUACGGCGUGACAAAUUUGUCUACGUUAUUGGAGAUGAUUUUCAUUCCGAACGAAACUAAAAACCAAGCUCAAUUUUGUUUGGAGUUAUUGAAGUUCGCUUUUCAUUAUAUAUAAUGGCUAACAUUAUAUAUAUUGAGGACAGCACAUUUUUAUUUACUUUCGUUUUGUUGUUUCAAGUGCAUAUAUAGAAUAAUGUGUAGCUGGUUUCAUUUUCUAGCUUUAAAUCAUGCUCAAACCAAACAGAAUUCUAC
rnacentral:lncRNA from 1 species